AAGGCGAGGGGGAGGGGGCCCGGCGGACGGUCCCGCUGCGGCCGCGGCUCCCGAGCCUGCCCGUCGGGACCCCGGUGACGAGGGGCGGAGGAGGCAGCGGCCGAAGCCGGAGCGGGGGGCGCUCGCCGCUGCCCCGGGGCCGGGACAUGUCGUCGGCGGCGGUGGCGGCUGCUUCCCGCAGGCAGUCGUGCUACCUGUGCGAUUUGCCCCGCAUGCCCUGGGCCAUGAUCUGGGACUUCACCGAGCCCGUCUGCCGGGGCUGCGUCAACUACGAGGGCGCCGACCGCGUGGAGUUCGUCAUCGACACGGCGCGGCAGCUGAAGCGGGCGCACGGCUGCUUCCCCGAGGGCCGGGCCCCGCCACCGCCCCACGCCAAGCAGCCUCCGCUCUCCGCCAAGGAGCUCCUGGCGCAGCAGCAGCAGCUCGGCCACCCCUCGGCGGCGGAGGCGGCGGCGCGGCCCCCGCCGCAGCCCCUGGAGCGCUACUCGCUGGCGGCCGAGAGGCCGCCGCCCCGCCUGGGCGCCGAGUACGGCGGCGGCCGGCAGGUCAACGGGAUCCUGGUGCCCAACGGCUUCCCCAAGCCCGAGGAGCCGCCAGAGCUCAACCGGCAGAGCCCGAACCCGCGGCGGACGCACGCCGUGCCGCCCACCCUUGUGCCGCUGGUGAACGGUGCCGGGCUCCCCGCCGCCAUCGGCGGUCUGGGCAGCCGCGCCGCCGCCGCGGCCGCCGCCUCGCUGGCCGCCAUCUCCGCCGCGCCCGCCCCCAUGGCCGUGCCCGUGCCCCAGCAGCCGGCGGCGGCGGCGCAGGCGGCGGGGCAGGCGGCGGGGCAACCCGGCGAGCUGGGGCACAAGCGCCCCGGCUCCGUCUCCUCCUCCUCCUCCUCGGGUGGCGGCGGCAGCGCGGCGGGGGAGCACGACAGUGGCGCCAAGGAGAAGCGCGGCUCCGCCGAGAGCCUGCCGGCGGCGGCGGCGGCGGAGCUGGCCGCGGAGGGCAAGGGCCGGCCGGGCGCCGAGCAGGAGUGGCUGGCCAAGCCCAAGACAGUGCGGGACACGCUGCUGGCCCUGCACCAGCACGGGAGCCACACCGUGGCCCCCUUCGACAGCAAAUUCAAGAAAGAGCCGGGCAUGGCGGGCGGCAGGCUGCUGGGCUACGAGACCAACGGCUCCGUGGCCAAGCCAGGGGCCCGGGCCGCCCGGAAGAGGAAGCCUUCCCCCGAGCCGGAGGGCGAGGCUGGACCCCCGAAGAUCAACGGGGAGGUGCAGCCCUGGCUGCCCACCCCGUCGGAAGGGAUGAAGCUGCCGCUGACGGCCACCCCCUUCAUGUCGCCCCCGCCGCCCACCGCUUCGCCCCACUCCAACCGGACCACGCCGCCCGAGGCGGCACAGAACGGCCAGUCCCCCAUGGCCGCCCUCAUUCUGGUGGCGGACAAUGCCGGGGGCAACCACGCCUCCAAAGACGCCAACCAGGUCCACUCCACCACGCGGAGGAACAGCAGCAGCCCCCCCUCGCCCUCCGCCAUGAACCAAAGAAGGCUGGGCCCCGGCAGGGAGGUGCCGGGCCAGGGGGCCAACGCGGCGGCGGCGGGCGGGCUGGAGCCCGUGCACCCCGCCAGCCUGCCGGACUCGUCCCUCGCCGCCAGCGUCCCGUUGUGUUGUACCCUCUGCCACGAGCGCCUGGAAGACACCCACUUCGUGCAGUGCCCCUCCGUCCCCUCCCACAAGUUCUGCUUCCCCUGCUCCCGGCAGAGCAUCAAGCAGCAGGGGGCCAGCGGGGAGGUGUAUUGCCCCAGCGGGGAGAAGUGUCCCCUGGUCGGCUCCAACGUCCCCUGGGCCUUCAUGCAAGGGGAGAUCGCCACCAUCCUGGCCGGAGAUGUGAAAGUGAAAAAGGAGAGGGACUCGUGACUCGCCUGCGCUCGCUGCCCGACGUCACCUUGAACUCGAACUGCUCGAAUUCUGUAUAUAUCUAUAAAUAUAUAUAUAUAAAUAUAUAUAUAUAUCUCCAAGACAAGGGAAAUGUAGACUUCAUAAACAUGGCUGUAUAAUUUUGAUUUUUUUGAAUACAUUGUGUUUCUAUAUUUUUUGAAGACAAAAGGUGUCCCAGCUGUGAGCGUGCCGAGGGUGAGACCUGCUCCUGACAAAGCACACCCUUGUUUUGGGGCCGAGGGACAUUGGUGUGAGAGGCCUGUAGGGAAGCACACCUUCCUCCUCCUCCCGCCAGCCGCCCGCUCCUGCAGCUCUGUGACUCCUGGAGAGGAUGGAAGCUCCCCAGCCGGUGAUGCCAGGCAGUGGCCCAGAAACAACAUAGAUGGAAAAGAAAUGGCACACGGUGGCUAUGCUCACUCAGCUGACUUUGAGCCCCCAGCCAAGUCUAAUCUCCACCAUAAAACUUCAGAACUGCUAAAGAAAAACAAACAAAAUGAAACAAAAAAAACCAAAACAAAAAAAGAAUUAAAAAAAAUUUGAGGGUGUUCAUACAUAGCUCAUUUUUCUCACAUUGAAUGUUGCUUUUUCCUUUUGUUUGCUUUGCUCAAUUACAAUAAUAUUCCGGUAGAUUCUUCCUUUAUUACUACUUCCUGGGCUACAAGCUUUUUUAUUUUUAUUUUUUUUCUUAUUAUUUUGAAGUGCUUUAGCUGCAACAGUGCCACUGUUAAUAUUCCUUUUUUAACUUUUUAAAAGGUGAUACUGUAACUUGUGUAGUAUUAAAAGUGUUUUAAUGAA